UGGGGAAUAUUGGGCAAUGGAGGCAACUCUGACCCAGCAACGCCGCGUGAGCGAUGAAGGUCUUCGGAUUGUAAAGCUCUUUAAGUGGGGACGAAGAAAGUGACUGUACCCACAGAAUAAGUCCCGGCUAACUACGUGCCAGCAGCCGCGGUAAUACGUAGGGGACAAGCGUUAUCCGGAAUGACUGGGCGUAAAGGGUGCGUAGGUGGUUUGGCAAGUUGGUAGCGUAAUUCCGGGGCUCAACUUCGGAACUACUACCAAAACUGCCGGGCUUGAGUGCAGGAGGGGCAUAUGGAAUUCCUAGUGUAGCGGUGGAAUGCGUAGAUAUUAGGAGGAACACCAGUGGCGAAGGCGAUAUGCUGGACUGUAACUGACACUGAGGCACGAAAGCGUGGGGAGCAAACAGG
rnacentral:rRNA from 1 species